CAAGUCGAGCGGACAGAUGGGAGCUUGCUCCCUGAUGUUAGCGGCGGACGGGUGAGUAACACGUGGGUAACCUGCCUGUAAGACUGGGAUAACUCCGGGAAACCGGGGCUAAUACCGGAUGCUUGUUUGAACCGCAUGGUUCAAACAUAAAAGGUGGCUUCGGCUACCACUUACAGAUGGACCCGCGGCGCAUUAGCUAGUUGGUGAGGUAAUGGCUCACCAAGGCAACGAUGCGUAGCCGACCUGAGAGGGUGAUCGGCCACACUGGGACUGAGACACGGCCCAGACUCCUACGGGAGGCAGCAGUAGGGAAUCUUCCGCAAUGGACGAAAGUCUGACGGAGCAACGCCGCGUGAGUGAUGAAGGUUUUCGGAUCGUAAAGCUCUGUUGUUAGGGAAGAACAAGUACCGUUCGAAUAGGGCGGUACCUUGACGGUACCUAACCAGAAAGCCACGGCUAACUACGUGCCAGCAGCCGCGGUAAUACGUAGGUGGCAAGCGUUGUCCGGAAUUAUUGGGCGUAAAGGGCUCGCAGGCGGUUUCUUAAGUCUGAUGUGAAAGCCCCCGGCUCAACCGGGGAGGGUCAUUGGAAACUGGGGAACUUGAGUGCAGAAGAGGAGAGUGGAAUUCCACGUGUAGCGGUGAAAUGCGUAGAGAUGUGGAGGAACACCAGUGGCGAAGGCGACUCUCUGGUCUGUAACUGACGCUGAGGAGCGAAAGCGUGGGGAGCGAACAGGAUUAGAUACCCUGGUAGUCCACGCCGUAAACGAUGAGUGCUAAG
rnacentral:rRNA from 1 species